AUUAUACAGCGAAACUGCGAAUGGCUCAUUAUAUAAGUUAUAGUUUACUUGAUAGUGCCUUUACUACUUGGAUAACCGUGGUAAUUCUAGAGNUAAUACAUGCUGAGUACCCCGACUUCGGAAGGGGUGUAUUUAUUAGAUACAAAACCAAUGCCCUUCGGGGCUCAAUGGUGAUUCAUGAUAACUUUUCGAAUCGCACGGCCCUGCGCCGGCGAUGGUUCAAUCAAGUUUCUUCCCUAUCAACUUUCGAUGUUUGGGUAUUGGCCAAACAUGGUUGCAACGGGUGACGGAGGGUUAGGGCUCGACCCCGGAGAAGGAGCCUGAGAAACGGCUACUACAUCCAAGGAAGGCAGCAGGCGCGCAAAUUACCCAAUCCCGAUUCGGGGAGGUAGUGACAAUAAAUACUGAUACAGGGCUCUUUAGGGCCUUGUAAUUGGAAUGAGAACAAUUUAAAUCCCUUAACGAGGAUCAAUUGGAGGGCAAGUCUGGUGCCAGCAGCCGCGGUAAUUCCAGCUCCAAUAGCGUAUAUUAAAGUUGUUGUGGUUAAAAAGCUCGUAGUUGAACCUGGGGCCUGGCUGGCCGGUCCGCCUCACCGCGUGCACUGGUCCGGCCGGGCCUUUCCUCCUGCGGAACCCGGCGCUCUUCACUGGGCGCCGCGGGGAAGCAGGACAUUUACUUUGAAAAAAUUAGAGUGCUCCAGGCAGGCCUAUGCUCGAAUACAUUAGCAUGGAAUAAUAAAAUAGGACGCGCGGUUCUAUUUUGUUGGUUUCUAGGACCGCCGUAAUGAUUAAUAGGGACAGUCGGGGGCAUCAGUAUUCAAGCGUCAGAGGUGAAAUUCUUGGACCGCUUGAAGACUACCUACUGCGAAAGCAUUUGCCAAGGAUGUUUUCAUUAAUCAGGAACGAAAGUUAGGGGAUCGAAGACGAUCAGAUACCGUCGUAGUCUUAACCAUAAACUAUGCCGACUAGGGAUCCGGCGGUGUUAUUCAUUGACCCGCUGGGCACCUUACGAGAAAUCAAAGU
rnacentral:rRNA from 1 species